GAUGAACGCUGGCGGCGUGCCUAAUACAUGCAAGUCGAGCGAACGGACGAGAAGCUUGCUUCUCUGAUGUUAGCGGCGGACGGGUGAGUAACACGUGGAUAACCUACCUAUAAGACUGGGAUAACUUCGGAAAACCGGAGCUAAUACCGGAUAAUAUUUUGAACCGCAUGGUUCAAAAGUGAAAGACGGUCUUGCUGUCACUUAUAGAUGGAUCCGCGCUGCAUUAGCUAGUUGGUAAGGUAACGGCUUACCAAGGCAACGAUGCAUAGCCGACCUGAGAGGGUGAUCGGCCACACUGGAACUGAGACACGGUCCAGACUCCUACGGGAGGCAGCAGUAGGGAAUCUUCCGCAAUGGGCGAAAGCCUGACGGAGCAACGCCGCGUGAGUGAUGAAGGUCUUCGGAUCGUAAAACUCUGUUAUUAGGGAAGAACAUAUGUGUAAGUAACUGUGCACAUCUUGACGGUACCUAAUCAGAAAGCCACGGCUAACUACGUG
rnacentral:rRNA from 1 species